rnacentral:rRNA from 1 species
CCUACGGGUGGCUGCAGUGAGGAAUAUUGGUCAAUGGGCGCGAGCCUGAACCAGCCAAGUAGCGUGAAGGAUGACUGCCCUACGGGUUGUACACUUCUUUUAUAAAGGAAUAAAGUGAGGCACGUGUGCCUUUUUGUAUGUACUUUAUGAAUAAGGAUCGGCUAACUCCGUGCCAGCAGCCGCGGUAAUACGGAGGAUUCGAGCGUUAUCCGGAUUUAUUGGGUUUAAAGGGAGCGUAGACGGGUUGUUAAGUCAGUUGUGAAAGUUUGGGGCUCAACCGUAAAAUUGCAAUUGAUACUGGCAGUCUUGAGUAAAGUUGAGGUAGGCGGAAUUCGUGGUGUAGCGGUGAAAUGAUUAGAUAUCACGAAGAACUCCGAUUGCGAAGGCAGCAUACUAAACUGCCACUGACAUUGAUGCUCGAAAGUGUGGGUAUCAAACAGGAUUAGAUACCCGAGUAGUC